rnacentral:lncRNA from 1 species
UCCUUUAGCUGUCAGAUUUCUACACAGGAUGUAAAGAGUCUUACUUUUUUUUAAUUAAUUUAAGCAAAAACAGCCUUUUUCUACUACAAGCUCUUAGUUUUAUAUUUGGGGUUCAAGUUUAUCACUGAGGUCUAUUAUAGUAUUUAAUAUUGUGUGAUUUCAGGUGUUGUGGAGCUAUACUAUAUGAGGUUAUAACAUUUGUUUUGUUUUUGCUUUUUAUCUCCUUGCCAUGGUCUGAAGAAGCCAUAUUGUUGUAAGGUAACGUUAUGUUUUUUGUUCAUUUAUAAAUGAGCAGCUAGAACACUUAUGUUUUAAUAUAUUACAUUAACUAGAUUUAAAAUAUUAAUAGAUUGAAGGUCAUUAAUCUGAUUCUUCUGGUUUUCUUGUGUGCUCUUCUGUUAUCCUAUAAUUUUGCACUUAUAAUUUUACUAGCAAGGAGAAAAUGAAUGAAAUUAAUAUUUACAGCUGUUGAAAUAGUGUUGGUUUUACAUUUUGAAAUGGCACAAUAUCAGUUGUUCUGCAAUAAGAUUGGGUGAGCCUAUGACUUUUAAUCUAGUACCAACUGGAGGACCUGUAUGAUAUCUGCAUUAUACUAGAUAUGAUGAACACGUAACACAAACUAUAAUACCUGCCUCAUAAUGUGUCAUGUAUAAUCAAUUAUUUGGGCAUUACUCUUGUAUCCACAGGUUGAUGACAAAUGAGGUCAUGGCCUGUUUCAGUAUGAAGUGGGGGAAGGGGAAGCUUGCCUUCACCAAGAUCAAUCUGUACACUGUUGUCACAGAGAGUGUCCAGAAAACAUCAAAAGAGACGGGGCAAAUAUUGCAGCGGCCACCGCCUUUUGUUUAAAAUAUGCCCCAGCAGAGCCGUCGCAAGGAGGGUGAGAGGCCCUGUGCAAAGUUGACAUGCGAGGCCCUCUACAAUUUUGCGUGUGUGUGUGUGUGUGUGUGUGUGUGUGUGUGUGUGUGGUGGGUGGGUGGGUAGUCGUGUAGGUAGUACGAGACGUAAGUUUAGUUUAUUAUAGUACGUAGUAUUUAGUUACGUGUGUGUGUGUGUGUGUGUGUGUGUGUGUGUGUGUGUGUGUGGGGGAGGUUGCUGUAGUAAGGCAAGGCAAGUUUAUUUAUAUAGCAGAUUUCGUACACAAUGGUAAUUCAAAGUGCUUUACAUAAAAUAAAGUAAAAUAAUCAUGAAGAACAAAACUAAAACAAGCAAUUUUAAAACUUUGGAAAUGAUUUAAAAAUUGACUUGAAUUUAAAACAGUUAGAAAUAGAAAAUGAUUUUACAUAAAAUACAGUGAAUACGUAAAAUACAGUGCAAUCAGGUCGGACAUCGCACAGUGCUCAUUAAAUAAAUGCACAGCUAAACAGAUGAGUUUUGAGUCUAGAUUUAAAUGUGACUAGUGUUUUAGCACAUCUGAUCUCUUCUGGAAGCUGAUUCUGGAAGCAAUGUAUUUUGGUCCUAGGUCACUGAGUGACUUCUAGACGAGUAAAAGUACUUUAAAAUCAAUCCUAAAUGUAACUGGAAGCCAGUGUA